rnacentral:rRNA from 1 species
AUUGAAAAAUAUUAAUAAUAUAUAAAUUAUGUAUUUAUUAAAAUAUUGAAGUUUAUAUAUUAUAAUUCAUAGAGGUAAUGAGUCCUAGUAAAAAAAAAAUUAUUUUUUUUAAUAUAUUAUAAAAUAUAAUUUUUUUAUAUUUUAUUUAAUAUUAAUAUUAUAAAAAAGAAUUAAUUAAAUGUUAUUUUAAUUUUGAGUAAAGCAAAAUUCAUUUUUUGUUUGAAUAAGGGAGAACCAUCUUCAAAACAAAUAAAUAUUUAAAAUAUAUCAAUAGAGAAUAGUACUGUGAAGGAAAGAUGAAAAGAACCUUUAUAAUAUAUAUGGAGUGAAAUAGAACUUGAAAUUAAAUACAUAAAAGCGAUUGGAGUAACAUUUAUUUUAAUAAAUUGUUAUAACAAUGUACCUUUUGUAUAAUGGGUCAGCGAGUUAAUAUAAUUAGUAAUUUUAAAAUUUUUUGAAAGGUUUU